AGAUGCGAAAGCGUGGGGAGCAAACAAGGAUUAGAUACCUGGUAGUCCACGCCGUAAACGAUGUCUACUUGGAGGUUGUGGCCUUGAGCCGUGGCUUUCGGAGCUAACGCGUUAAGUAGACCGCCUGGGGAGUACGGUCGCAAGAUUAAAACUCAAAUGAAUUGACGGGGGCCCGCACAAGCGGUGGAGCAUGUGGUUUAAUUCGAUGCAACGCGAAGAACCUUACCUACUCUUGACAUCCAGAGAAGCCAGCGGAGACGCAGGUGUGCCUUCGGGAGCUCUGAGACAGGUGCUGCAUGGCUGUCGUCAGCUCGUGUUGUGAAAUGUUGGGUUAAGUCCCGCAACGAGCGCAACCCUUAUCCUUGUUUGCCAGCGAGUAAUGUCGGGAACUCCAGGGAGACUGCCGGUGAUAAACCGGAGGAAGGUGGGGACGACGUCAAGUCAUCAUGGCCCUUACGAGUAGGGCUACACACGUGCUACAAUGGCGCAUACAGAGGGCAGCCAACUUGCGAAAGUGAGCGAAUCCCAAAAAGUGCGUCGUAGUCCGGAUUGGAGUCUGCAACUCGACUCCAUGAAGUCGGAAUCGCUAGUAAUCGUAGAUCAGAAUGCUACGGUGAAUACGUUCCCGGGCCUUGUACACACCGCCCGUCACACCAUGGGAGUGGGCUGCAAAAGAAGUGGGU
rnacentral:rRNA from 1 species